UACGAAGGGGGCUAGCGUUGCUCGGAAUCACUGGGCGUAAAGCGCACGUAGGCGGCUUUCUAAGUCAGGGGUGAAAUCCUGGAGCUCAACUCCAGAACUGCCUUUGAUACUGGAGAGCUUGAGUCCGGAAGAGGUGAGUGGAACUCCGAGUGUAGAGGUGAAAUUCGUAGAUAUUCGGAAGAACACCAGUGGCGAAGGCGGCUCACUGGUCCGGUACUGACGCCGAGGUGCGAAAGCGUGGGGAGCAAACAGG
rnacentral:rRNA from 1 species